rnacentral:rRNA from 1 species
AUUGAACGCUGGCGGCAGGCCUAACACAUGCAAGUCGAGCGAGAGGCGGACGGGUGAGUAAUGUAUGGGGAUCUGCCCGAUAGAGGGGGAUAACUACUGGAAACGGUGGCUAAUACCGCAUACCAUCAGAUGAACCCAUAUGGGAUUAGCUAGUAGGUGGGGUAAAGGCUCACCUAGGCGACGAUCUCUAGCUGGUCUGAGAGGAUGGUCAGCCACACUGACACUGAGACACGGCCCGGACUCCUACUGGAGGCAGCAGUGGGGAAUAUUGCACAAUGGGCGCAAGCCUGAUGCAGCCAUGCCGCGUGUAUGAAGAAGGCCUUAGGGUUGUAAAGUACUUUCAGCGGGGAGGCGUUACCCGCAGAAGAAGCACCGGCUAAAUCCGUGCCAGCAGCCGCGGUAAUAC